UCCCUGAUAGCUCAGUGGGUAAAGAAUCAGUCUUCAGUGCUGGAGACCUGGGUUUGAUCCCUGGCUUGGGAA
rnacentral:tRNA from 1 species